AUGACCCGAGCACGAAGUGGUGAAAGAGGGCAGGGGCUCUCCAUUAACAUUAUCGUGGCCAGCAGAAAUAUUUGACCAUAAUAAAAAGAAUACAAAACAAAGCGAAUCGAAUCGAGCAGCGAAUCGAAGCGGAAACCUAAUCGUUAACUCAUCGAACCCUACGAUACCCUCGAUCGGAAGUGAUAAGAAUAUGUGCAUGUUCAUGCUCAGGUUUUUUACUCAUAAUAAUAAGUUAUCAAAUAUUCAUUAUCAUCUCUUUCCGAAUUGUUCCCUCCAGCUAGAACUAUCGACUUUGAUAGUUAUUUAAAUUUUCUGUAAGGAGAUAUGGUAAGAAGACAUUCACCUAUCCAAGCUAUCCCCCCUAGCUAGAGUCUUCAACAAGAAAGGGUAGAAAGUAUGCGACAAUCGGCGAUAUCGACCAACCAUCGACAGCAAUGAAGCGUAACGAAAACACACCAGAAACAGAAAACAGCAACACAUACACAACACUUCGGAGGGUUUGGUACCCGCGUCAUAUGCCAACUUAUUCAAUAAAUUCCUGGCCUCCUCGCCAUAUCAUCAUCGCCAACGACUUUUGGCUCUGGCCAAAACCGAAAAGAGCCCCAGGAAUUUUGAAUAGAAAGAGGAUCAAUGGCAGCUGCUCUUGGCUGAAAGAUCACUUCGCCAAAAAAAUAAAGAAAAAACACGCGCAAAAAGACAGGCCAGAAUUGCGCGCCAAUUCCGCAAAAGAGAUUCUGGACCCGGAGACUGAAAUCGACUUCAAGGAAUUGCAUAAAACAUUAACAUUUUUGCUCAUUUCUUAUAUUUUUUUUCGCUCUCCUCGCUGCGGUCGAAACUUCGGCCUCGACCAGGCUCCAAACCUCUCGCACAGCCACAACCACACGUAUAGAACGUAUAUCUACACAAUAUUGACCAAGAACGUAGCGCCCAAAAGGCAGCUUACAGCAACAACAACAACCGGUCUUAGAGAACCAGCGACCAAAGACGAAAGAAUAACGAACGGCAACAAAAAAAAAAAGAAUGAAAACAAGAAUGAAAAGCUUUGGCUUCAAGAAGUCGAAGAUAGAACUACUCUAAGUCUGUAGAAGGGGUUUAGGUUGGUCCGAGGAAGGUAAUGUUAUCCCUCUAUGAAGAUAAAUGUAGUCAAUGAGCAAACAUAAUUCGGAAUCAUAAAGCUUGGCACCUACUACUGAAAAUAGUGCACAGCACACCCCAAACCACCUAGUACACUCGAAGAAAUCAAAGGCUGAGCGGAGAGUUCCCAUCGUUCCCCCGCCUCCCCGGAAUGUCCCGCCCCAAUGCCGCCGCCUUCCCUGACUUCAGUCAACAAGUUAUGACCAUGGAAAGACGACCCGACCCCCGACCCGUCAAGAACGUGCUCUCUCUGUUCUCCGUUCUCCGUUCUCGGUUCUCGACUCUCUGGUUCCGAGUCUUACUCCGUCUUCUGGCCAAGACUCCAAGGGCGUAGCCAGGAUUCAAAACGGGACCCCUUUGACGUCCUCGCUAAAUCCCAGAGUCUUCCCCCUUUCCCCGCCCCUUUCGUGGGGCGUGUGUAUGCCGCAUAUUUGAAGCAUAUAAAGGAAGGAGAGAAAAGGAGGAGGAGGAAAAAAGGCUGAAGCAGAAGAAGGAAGAGGGAGCCGCAAGAGAAAAAGGAAAACAAAACCCACGAAAAAAGAAUUUCGAGUGCAAGCGAGAGAGCGGGAGCGAACAAAAAGAAUCCAGCAAAUCAAGCUCACAUUAUGCUGAGGAAUGCGCCCAAGUGACGAUAUCGUAGCAGCAGAGGACGCCGGCCGAGGCAGAGUCUUCAGACCCUCAAGAUCUGAUUCUCCCCAUCCCCAUCCCCCUCUUCUGCCAUCUAUGUAUCUGGGGUUCUGUCCACGGAGUUUGUUUGGAAGAUAGCCGCAUCGAUAGCGAGCGAAGGAAUACUGGAAGUUAGACUUGAAUUUAGUAGGCUCUCAAUGGUUUUAUGAUCUGUCAAAUCGUGUAUUGUUGCAACUUUGUACAUAAGACUUGGAAGUUGACUAAGGAAAGUCACAUGAUUUAAGCCUACUUAUUA